CCUACGGGAGGCAGCAGUAGGGAAUCUUGCGCAAUGGGCGAAAGCCUGACGCAGCAACGCCGCGUGAUCGAGACGCCCUUCGGGGUGUAAAGAUCUGUCAGUGGGGACGAAACUUGACGGUACCCACAGAGGCCGCCCCUGCUAACUCCGUGCCAGCAGCCGCGGGCAUACGGGGGGUGCAAGCGUUGUCCGGAAUCAUUGGGCGUAAGGAGUUCGUAGGCGGGACGUCAAGUCUGGUGUUAAAGGCAGAGGCUCAACUGCGGUACGGCACUGGAUACUUGCGAGCUUGAAUGCGGUAGAGGUAAAGGGAAUGCCUGGUGUAGCGGUGAAAUGCUUAGAUAUCAGGCAGAACAUCGGUGGCGAAAGCGCUUUACUGGGCCGUAAUUGACGCUGAGGAACGAAAGCCAGGGGAGCAAAUGGGAUUAGAUACCCUAGUAGUC
rnacentral:rRNA from 1 species